rnacentral:rRNA from 1 species
GACGAACGCUGGCGGCGUGCUUAACACAUGCAAGUCGAACGGAAAGGCCCGGCUUUUGUGGGGUGCUCGAGUGGCGAACGGGUGAGUAACACGUGAGUAACCUGCCCUUGACUUUGGGAUAACUUCAGGAAACUGGGGCUAAUACCGGAUAGGAGCUCCUGCUGCAUGGUGGGGGUUGGAAAGUUUCGGCGGUUGGGGAUGGACUCGCGGCUUAUCAGCUUGUUGGUGGGGUAGUGGCUUACCAAGGCUUUGACGUGUAGCCGGCCUGAGAGGGUGACCGGCCACAUUGGGCCUGAGAUACGGCCCAGACUCCUACGGGAGGCAGCAGUGGGGAAUAUUGCACAAUGGGCGGAAGCCUGAUGCAGCAACGCCGCGUGCGGGAUGACGGCCUUCGGGUUGUAAACCGCUUUCGCCUGUGACGAAGCGUGAGUGACGGUAAUGGGUAAAGAAGCACCGGCUAACUACGUG